GGAGUGGAAGCAAGAAUCUGGCACAGGAAGAAAGAGAGAGCCAGGAGAUGCAGCAGGCCAGCUUUUACCCUCUUCUUCUACCUGCUUUGUUCGAGACACACUGGCAGCCACCUGGAUGGUGACCGCCCAUAUUCAGGAUUUGUCUGACUAGAACUUCCAGAUCUUUUCAGAAGAACUUCCAGAGUAGGAGUGAGAGUUUUGAUAUGAGGGUGAUUCUGGCUGUAUUUCUGGGAUCAGAUUUUUGACCUGUUCCAUUGGCCUAUAAGCCUGUUUUGUACAAGUCCCAUAAUGUUUAUUUGCUAUAUCCUUGUAAUAUAGUUUGAAGUGCUUUGUGUAACAGCUCGUGCUUUGUGCUUUUUGCUUAGGAUUGUUAUGGCUGUUUGGGCUCUGUUUUUGUUGCAUAUGAAUUUUAGAAUAGAUUUUAAUAAUUCUGUGAGAUGAAUUUGGUAGUUUUAUAA
rnacentral:lncRNA from 1 species